rnacentral:rRNA from 1 species
AGUGAACGCUGGCGGUAGGCCUAACACAUGCAAGUCGAACGGCAGCACAGUAAGAGCUUGCUCUUACGGGUGGCGAGUGGCGGACGGGUGAGGAAUACAUCGGAAUCUACUUUUUCGUGGGGGAUAACGUAGGGAAACUUACGCUAAUACCGCAUACGACCUACGGGUGAAAGCAGGGGAUCUUCGGACCUUGCGCGAUUGAAUGAGCCGAUGUCGGAUUAGCUAGUUGGCGGGGUAAAGGCCCACCAAGGCGACGAUCCGUAGCUGGUCUGAGAGGAUGAACACCCCAACUGGAACGGAGACACGGCCCAGACCCCUAGGGGGGGAAGAGGGGGGGAAUAUUGGAAAAGGGGGGCAACCCGGACCCAGCCAUCCCGGGGGGGGGAAGAAGGCCUUCGGGUUGUAAAGCCCUUUUGUGGGGAAAAAAAAGCAGCAGGUUAAAACCCCGCUGUUCUGACGGUACCCAAAAAAAAAGCACCGGCUAACUUCGG